UGUGCACUUUUCUCUUAGUAAGACGCCGUGAUUCAUUAGAAAUUGGUGCACGCCAAGUGCACAGUGGGUCAUCAAUAGGCCGGCACGAAGUUUAUCGGAACAAAUGGCGUGGUCUUUAACGGCCGCGUGUAUUGUCUGGUAAGCGUGUCCGUGUCCUGCAAUGACUGUCUGAUGAGUUUUAGAGACCGACAUCAACGAUGCCUCGUGCAUUGGCGCUUGUCGCAAAUCGAUGCGUGUCUGAUCGACGGCGGUUAAAUUUGGGAUACCUUUUGGACCCGUCUUGAAACACGGACCAAGGAGUCUAUCUAGUAUGCGAGUAAAUGGAUAGUUAAUGAAAUCUAUUUGCGCAAUAAACGUGACUGUUUAAUGGGAUUACGGCUUGUCGACACGCAAGUGUCUCUCGCCUUCCUUCCCGGGGUAUUUUCAUCCACAUACUCUGUAUGGAAAAUAUACCAUGAGCAUACUGGAUGCGACCCGAAAGAUGGUGAACUAUGCCUGAUCAGGUCGAAGUCAGGGGAAACCCUGAUGGAGGACCGAAGCAGUUCUGACGUGCAAAUCG
rnacentral:rRNA from 1 species